UGGUAGUUAUCAGUCUACUAGUGUCUCCUUGUAGUUUUGUUUUGGAUUUUGCUAGCAAGUUUUUGUUUUCCUUUUUUGAUUAUUAAAUACUUUUAGUUUAUUCUACACUUGGGUCCACCUCUCCUUGUUUUCCAACCAUUCAUGACAAUUUGUAUCUUGUUGUCAGAGCAUCUAGGAGGGAUGUUACAGCAACUACAACAACUACCAAUCUAGUUGAAGGCUCUUUCCUCUUGGAUGGAGUUUGUUCUUUUUUCACAUUCAAUUUCACCACUGUGUUCUCUCCAUAUUGAUCUCUACUGAGUACCAGAGGAGGACUCACCAUGUGCCUAAAAGGAUUUGAGUAACCAUGUCAACAUGACACUUCUGAAGACCUGUGUCAUCCUUCUCCUUCUGACUGUGUUGUUCUUUGUACUAAGAAACAUGGACCUGCUGCAGAGGCUCUCUCAGCCACCUCCCCCAUCCUGCGGUCUGCAGUCUUCCUCUCCUUUCCUGUCACACCCAUGGCUGUGAUAAUCCUCUACACUGACUGAGCCAGGAAUCCUCUACAUCUGACUUCGAUUGGGAAUAGCCACGCCUGCCAACCUUUUC